rnacentral:rRNA from 1 species
AAAGCUUUUGUGGUUUUGGAUGGACUCGCGGCCUAUCAGCUUGUUGGUGGGGUAAUGGCCUACCAAGGCGACGACGGGUAGCCGGCCUGAGAGGGUGACCGGCCACACUGGGACUGAGACACGGCCCAGACUCCUACGGGAGGCAGCAGUGGGGAAUAUUGCACAAUGGGCGCAAGCCUGAUGCAGCGACGCCGCGUGAGGGAUGAAGGCCUUCGGGUUGUAAACCUCUUUCAGUAGGGAAGAAGCCGGCCUUUUUGGGUUGGUGACGGUACCUGCAGAAGAAGCGCCGGCUAACUACGUGCCAGCAGCCGCGGUAAUACGUAGGGCGCAAGCGUUAUCCGGAAUUAUUGGGCGUAAAGAGCUCGUAGGCGGUUUGUCGCGUCUGCCGUGAAAGUCCGGGGCUUAACUCCGGAUUCUGCGGUGGGUACGGGCAGACUAGAGUGCAGUAGGGGAGACUGGAAUUCCUGGUGUAGCGGUGAAAUGCGCAGAUAUCAGGAGGAACACCGAUGGCGAAGGCAGGUCUCUGGGCUGUAACUGACGCUGAGGAGCGAAAGCAUGGGGAGCGAACAGGAUUAGAUACCCUGGUAGUCCAUGCCGUAAACGUUGGGCACUAGGUGUGGGGGACAUUCCACGUUUUCCGCGCCGUAGCUAACGCAUUAAGUGCCCCGCCUGGGGAGUACGGCCGCAAGGCUAAAACUCAAAGGAAUUGACGGGGGCCCGCACAAGCGGCGGAGCAUGCGGAUUAAUUCGAUGCAACGCGAAGAACCUUACCAAGGCUUGACAUGAACCGGAAUGAUGCAGAGAUGUGUCAGCCACUUGUGGCCGGUUUACAGGUGGUGCAUGGUUGUCGUCAGCUCGUGUCGUGAGAUGUUGGGUUAAGUCCCGCAACGAGCGCAACCCUCGUUCCAUGUUGCCAGCGGGUUAUGCCGGGGACUCAUGGGAGACUGCCGGGGUCAACUCGGAGGAAGGUGGGGACGACGUCAAAUCAUCAUGCCCCUUAUGUCUUGGGCUUCACGCAUGCUACAAUGGCCGGUACAAAGGGUUGCGAUACUGUGAGGUGGAGCUAAUCCCAAAAAGCCGGUCUCAGUUCGGAUUGAGGUCUGCAACUCGACCUCAUGAAGUUGGAGUCGCUAGUAAUCGCAGAUCAGCAACGCUGCGGUGAAUACGUUCCCGGGCCUUGUACACA